rnacentral:misc_RNA from 1 species
GAUGAAGAACGUAGCGAAAUGCGAUACUUGGUGUGAAUUGCAGAAUCCCGUGAACCAUCGAGUCUUUGAACGCAAGUUGCGCCCGAAGCCAUUAGGCCGAGGGCACGCCUGCCUGGGCGUCACACGUCGUUGCCCCCCCAUCUACUCCUUCGGGAUUGCGGGGGGCGGAUGAUGGCCUCCCGUGCGCCUCGUCGCGCGGUUGGCAUAAAUGCCAAGUCCUCGGCGACGCACGCCACGACAAUCGGUGGUUGCGAAACCUCGGUUGCCCGUCGUGUGCGGUCGUCGCGCAUCGAGGGCUCGAAAAAAUUGUCGGGCUCCGGCUCGGCUUUCAACGCGACCCCAGGUCAGGCGGGGUUACCCGCUGAAUUUAAGCAUAUCAUAAGCGGAGGA